GCAUGUUGUAAUUUCGAUAUUUUUUGAACAAAAUAAAUUCAUUCAUACAGUUGUGUAUAAGGCAAAUUAAGUAAAUGAAGUUUAUUGAUAUAAUCAACCCCCAGGGCUUUGGUCGUAAGGCAUGCAGCACUUCCCUUGCGAUAGUAACUUCUAGUUCUGUCUAAAAUAAUUUGUUCUUUUGAUGCCAAGGUACUCGGUUGAAGAAGUACUAGAAAUGGCUUCCCCCUCCAAAACAUACGUAUAGAUCAGAG